UAUUGAGAAGCGACUUUUCGCUCCUAGUUUCGGCCUAGGCCCAGGCAAUAAUCAAUUUGCCCUUAAUUU
rnacentral:tRNA from 1 species